UACGUAGGGGGCAAGCGUUGUCCGGAUUUAUUGGGCGUAAAGAGCGUGUAGGCGGCCAGACAGGUCCGUUGUGAAAACUCGAGGCUCAACCUCGAGACGCCGAUGGAAACCGUCUGGCUAGAGUCCGGAAGAGGAGAGUGGAAUUCCCGGUGUAGCGGUGAAAUGCGCAGAUAUCAGGAAGAACACCAAUGGCGAAGGCAGCUCUCUGGGACGGUACUGACGCUGAGACGCGAAAGCGUGGGGAGCGAACAGG
rnacentral:rRNA from 1 species